rnacentral:lncRNA from 1 species
UCACCCAUCAGCAGCAGCUACCGACUGGUCCAGCACACUCUCUCGCCUCACGCAAUGGCUGCCUCCACCAUGGCGAUCUCCUCCACCAUGGCCGGCACCCCCAUCAAGGUGGGCUCCUUCGGCGAGGGCCGCAUCACCAUGCGCAAGACCGCGGCCAAGCCCAAGGUGGCGGCGUCCGGCAGCCCGUGGUACGGCCCCGACCGCGUCAAGUACCUCGGCCCCUUCUCCGGCGAGCCCCCGAGCUACCUGACUGGCGAGUUCCCCGGCGACUACGGCUGGGACACCGCUGGGCUGUCCGCUGACCCCGAGACCUUCGCCAAGAACCGCGAGUUGGAGGUCAUCCACUCCCGCUGGGCCAUGCUCGGCGCGCUCGGCUGCGUCUUCCCCGAGCUGCUCGCCCGCAACGGCGUCAAGUUCGGCGAGGCCGUCUGGUUCAAGGCCGGCUCCCAGAUCUUCAGCGAGGGCGGCCUCGACUACCUCGGCAACCCCAGCCUUAUCCAUGCGCAGAGCAUCCUCGCCAUCUGGGCCUGCCAGGUCGUGCUCAUGGGCGCCGUCGAGGGCUACCGCAUUGCCGGCGGCCCACUCGGCGAGGUCGUCGACCCGCUCUACCCCGGCGGCAGCUUCGACCCCCUCGGCCUGGCCGACGACCCUGAGGCCUUCGCCGAGCUCAAGGUCAAGGAGCUCAAGAACGGCCGCCUCGCCAUGUUCUCCAUGUUCGGAUUCUUCGUCCAGGCCAUCGUCACCGGCAAGGGCCCGCUCGAGAACCUGGCCGACCACCUCGCCGACCCAGUCAACAACAACGCCUGGGCCUACGCCACCAACUUCGUCCCCGGCAACUAAGCUCGCCAUUCGCCUCUGCAACUCCAUUGUCUUCCGGCCGGGAGGGGCGUACGUGGAUUGGUUGAUGCUGCAAGCGAGCUGCCGCAUGCGUGUCUUGUUUCACGUUGCAUUUCAGGGGCAAGUCGAGAUGAUGAGUCGGCGUUGUACACUAAGAUGAUGUUUGUGCAAUAGUAGUGGUUUUGUUCCCUGGUGGUUAACCUUUGAUUUGUCUGAUUAAGGACAUCUAAUUAAGAGGACUAAACAUGAGCUAAUUAUAAAACUAACUAUACAUAUGGAGGCUAAUUCGCGAGACGAAUCUAUUAAAUCUAACUAUAUUCGUCUCGCGAAUUAACCUCUGUAAUUAAUUUUUAAUUAAUCUAUAUUUAGUACUUGACGACCGCGGAACCAAACGGGAGAUUAAACGUAUAAAUAUAUAUAUAUCGCAGACCUCGGCAUGUUUCAUCCUGUGAUACAUGCCACGUGUCCACUAGACAGUGCUGGUGCCGGAAGAAAAAAAGAGGAUCGACGGUGACUGCACUUUUACCGUAUCAGCUUACCGUGUUCUUUUUUUACCGUCCAUGGGCCGUUGUACUCUGGUUUCCUUGAGCCGUUUCGUACGUUAGGCUUCGGCCUACGUGUGCGUCGUCAGUGUGUGUCCAGUGUUGUGGCCUACUGUUUUGCCGCUUAGUUGCCUUCAAACGCUAUAUGUAAAUUAACAGUUGGUGUAUAUCUAAUCUGGACAAUUGUUGAGCUUGUUAUCUACAUAUUUUAGUAUGUUCUUGUAUUAACCCGUCUCUUGACACUUGAAAUAAUUCCGUUUUUCAUAUGUAUUGUAUUUUGGAGAACCUUCUAUUUUUUCAGGAAAUUGGACUAUAUCGAGGCAUAAUUGGACAAGGUUCUGGACAAGCAACAACAUAGAGAAAGACGAAGGCCAACGGGUCCAAAAAGGACCUAGGCCAGGCUGAUCGGCCUAGGGUCCUCAGGGCCCCGAUCAUGCUCGUUCUUGGCGAGCACUCCUAGGCCGAUCGGCCUGAGGUGUUCCUUCACCCGAUUACCUUCCAAUUUCUGCCACGAGCUCUUCAAACUAUGAAUACCCCAAAAAUUCAGAGAGCCCCGGCAUUCAUCCGCCAGAACUCGACGAAACCAAAGGCAUACACCAAAGGGAGCUGAGGCCCACUGCAAGUCUUCAGAGUUGUCUUGGAGAUGGCUUAGGCCGACCCUAGCCGCCAUGGCCUCCCUGCACGAUUGUGCCAUGGUGGAGUUCAGGAGAGCCAGUAGUAGAUCGUCGAUGGUAUGU